AGAGUUUGAUCAUGGCUCAGAUUGAACGCUGGCGGAAUGCUUUACACAUGCAAGUCGAGCGGCAGCGCGGGGCAACCUGGCGGCGAGCGGCGAACGGGUGAGUAAUACAUCGGAACGUGCCCAGACGUGGGGGAUAACUACUCGAAAGAGUGGCUAAUACCGCAUACGAUCUAAGGAUGAAAGCGGGGGAUCGCAAGACCUCGCGCGUUUGGAGCGGCCGAUGGCAGAUUAGGUAGUUGGUGGGGUAAAGGCUUACCAAGCCCGCGAUCUGUAACUGGUCUGAGAGGAUGAUCAGCCACACUGGGACUGAGACACGGCCCAGACUCCUACGGGAGGCAGCAGUGGGGAAUUUUGGACAAUGGGCGAAAGCCUGAUCCAGCCAUUCCGCGUGCAGGAUGAAGGCCCUCGGGUUGUAAACUGCUUUUGUACAGAACGAAAAAGCUCUUUCUAAUACAGAGAGUCCAUGACGGUACUGUAAGAAUAAGCACCGGCUAACUACGUG
rnacentral:rRNA from 1 species